rnacentral:rRNA from 1 species
UACGUAGGGUGCAAGCGUUGUCCGGAAUUACUGGGCGUAAAGGGCUCGUAGGCGGCCAACUAAGUCAGACGUGAAAUCCCUCGGCUUAACCGGGGAACUGCGUCUGAUACUGGAUGGCUUGAGGUUGGGAGAGGGAUGCGGAAUUCCAGGUGUAGCGGUGAAAUGCGUAGAUAUCUGGAGGAACACCGGUGGCGAAGGCGGCAUCCUGGACCAAUUCUGACGCUGAGUGAGCGAAAGCCAGGGGAGCAAACGGG